UACGUAGGGGGCAAGCGUUAUCCGGAUUUAUUGGGCGUAAAGCGCGCGUAGGUGGGCUGUUAAGCGAGAUGUGAAAACCGGGGGCUCAACCCGCGGCCUGCAUCUCGAACUGGCAGCCUUGAGUCUGGUAGAGGGAAGUGGAAUUCCGAGUGUAGCGGUGAAAUGCGCAGAUAUUCGGAAGAACACCAGUGGCGAAGGCGGCUUCCUGGGCCACGACUGACACUGAGGCGCGAAAGCUAGGGGAGCGAAC
rnacentral:rRNA from 1 species